GACGAACGCUGGCGGCGUGCUUAACACAUGCAAGUCGAACGGAAAGGCCCUGCUUUUGUGGGGUGCUCGAGUGGCGAACGGGUGAGUAACACGUGAGUAACCUGCCCUUGACUUUGGGAUAACUUCAGGAAACUGGGGCUAAUACCGGAUAGGAGCUCCUGCUGCAUGGUGGGGGUUGGAAAGUUUCGGCGGUUGGGGAUGGACUCGCGGCUUAUCAGCUUGUUGGUGGGGUAGUGGCUUACCAAGGCUUUGACGGGUAGCCGGCCUGGGAGGGUGACCGGCCACAUUGGGACUGAGAUACGGCCCAGACUCCUACGGGCGGCAGCAGUGGGGAAUAUUGCACAAUGGGCGGAAGCCUGAUGCGGCAACGCCGCGUGCGGGAUGACGGCCUUCGGGUUGUAAACCGCUUUCGCCUGUGACGAAGCGUGAGUGACGGUAAUGGGUAAAGAAGCACCGGCUAACUACGUG
rnacentral:rRNA from 1 species